rnacentral:rRNA from 1 species
UGGGGAAUUUUGGACAAUGGGCGAAAGCCUGAUCCAGCCAUGCCGCGUGAGUGAAGAAGGCCUUCGGGUUGUAAAGCUCUUUUAGUCGGAAAGAAAGAGUUGCAAUGAAUAAUUGUGAUUUAUGACGGUACCCGCAUAAGAAGCACCGGCUAACUACGUGCCAGCAGCCGCGGUAAUACGUAGGGUGCGAGCGUUAAUCGGAAUUACUGGGCGUAAAGCGUGCGCAGGCGGUUUCGUAAGACAGAUGUGAAAUCCCCGGGCUUAACCUGGGAACUGCGUUUGUGACUGCAAGGCUGGAGUACGGCAGAGGGGGGUGGAAUUCCACGUGUAGCAGUGAAAUGCGUAGAGAUGUGGAGGAACACCGAUGGCGAAGGCAGCCCCCUGGGCCUGUACUGACGCUCAUGCACGAAAGCGUGGGGAGCAAACA